GAUGAACGCUGGCGGCGUGCCUAAUACAUGCACGUCGAGCGAACAGACGAGGAGCUUUCUCCUCUGACGUUAGCGGCGGACGGGUGAGUAACACGUGGAUAACCUACCUAUAAAACUGGGAUAAAUUCGGGAAACCGGAGCUAAUACCGGAUAAUAUAUUGAACCGCAUGGUUCACUAUUGAAAGACGGUUUUGCUGUCACUUAUAGAUGGAUCCGCGCCGCAUUAGAUAGUUGGUAAGGUAACUGCUUAACAAGGCAACGAUGCGUAGCCGACCUGAAAGGGUGAUCGGCCACACUGGGACUGAGACACGGUCCAGACUCCUACGGGAGGCAGCAGUAGGGGAUCUUCCGCAAUGGGCGAAAGCCUGACGGAGCAACGACGCGUGAAUGAUGAAGGUCUUCGGAUCGUAAAACUCUGUUAUUAGGGAAGAACAAAUGUGUAAGUAACUAUGCACGUCUUGACGGUACCUAAUCAGAAAGCCACGGCUAACUACGUG
rnacentral:rRNA from 1 species